CCUACGGGUGGCAGCAGUGAGGAAUAUUGGUCAAUGGUCGUGAGCCUGAACCAGCCAAGUAGCGUGCAGGAUGACGGCCCUAUGGGUUGUAAACUUCUUUUAUAAAGGAAUAAAGUGAGGCACGUGUGCCUUUUUGUAUGUACUUUAUGAAUAAGGAUCGGCUAACUCCGUGCCAGCAGCCGCGGUAAUACGGAGGAUCCGAGCGUUAUCCGGAUUUAUUGGGUUUAAAGGGAGCGUAGAUGGGUUGUUAAGUCAGUUGUGAAAGGUUGCGGCUCAACCGUAAAAUUGCAAUUGAUACUGGCAGUCUUGAGUGCAGUGGAGGUAGGCGGAAUUCGUGGUGUAGCGGUGAAAUGCUUAGAUAUCACGAAGAACUCCGAUUGCGAAGGCAGCUUACUAAACUGCCACUGACACUGAUGCUCGAAGGUGUGGGUAUCAAACAGGAUUAGAUACCCUUGUAGUC
rnacentral:rRNA from 1 species